rnacentral:rRNA from 1 species
GAAACUGCCGGUAAUACCGGAUGAUGUCUCCGGACCAAAGGUGUGAUUCCGCCUUGGGAGCGGUCUACGUCCUAUUAGGUUGUUGGUGGGGUAAUGGCCUACCAAGCCAAAGAUGGGUACCGGGUGUGAGAGCAUGGCCCGGCUCACUGGGACUGAGACACUGCCCAGACACCUACGGGUGGCUGCAGUCGAGAAUCUUCCGCAAUGGGCGAAAGCCUGACGGAGCGACGCCGCGUGCGGGAUGAAGGCCUUCGGGUUGUAAACCGCUGUCAGUUGGGAGGAAAUGCAUAAGGGUUCUCUCUUAUGUUUGACCGAUCUUCAGAGGAAGGACGGGCUAAGUUCGUGCCAGCAGCCGCGGUAACGCGAACCGUCCAAACGUUAUUCGGAAUAACUGGGCUUAAAGGGUUCGUAGGCGGCUAUGAAGGUGGGGUGUGAAAUCCCUCGGCUCAACCGAGGAACUGCGCUCCAAACCACAUGGCUUGAGGGAGACAGAGGUAAGCGGAACUGAUGGUGGAGCGGUGAAAUGCGUUGAUAUCAUCAGGAACACCGGUGGCGAAGGCGGCUUACUGGGNUCUCUUCUGACGCUGAGGAACGAAGCUAGGGGAGCGAACGGGAUUA